rnacentral:rRNA from 1 species
ACCCGCUGAACUUAAGCAUAUCAAUAAGCGGAGGAAAAGAAACUAACAAGGAUUCCCCUAGUAACGGCGAGUGAAGCGGGAACAGCUCAAAUUUGAAAUCUCGCGGUUUUUCCGUGCGAAUUGUAGUUUAUAGAAACGUUUUCGGGGGUGGCUCGGGCAUAAGUCCUUUGGAAUGAGGCAUCAUAGAGGGUGAGAAUCCCGUCUUUGGUCCGAAGUCCGCUCCUAUGUGAUGCGUUUUCUAAGAGUCGGUUUGUUUGGGAAUGCAGACCAAAAUGGGUGGUAAAUACCAUCUAAAGCUAAAUAUUGGCGAGAGACCGAUAGCGAACAAGUACCGUGAGGGAAAGAUGAAAAGAACUUUGAAAAGAGAGUUAAAAGUACGUGAAAUUGUCAAAAGGGAAACGCUUGAAACCAGUAUUGCUUGCAGGUAAUCAGCCGUCCCUCUUGGGUCGGUGCACUUGCCUGUCGGCGGGUCAACAUCAGUUUGGCUCGGGAUAAAAAGCCUGGAGAAGGUGGCCCCUCUCGGGGGGUGUUAUAGCUCCGGGUCAUGUUUUGGGUUGGACUGAGGUCUGCAGCGUUAUUUGGGUAGCCAGUCGCCUCUCGAAGCCUUUUCGCAGACAGCACGCUGACUGCGGAACGGUCUAGGGAGCACGGUUGGGAUUCCACACCAACGCUUAGGAUGUUGACGAAAUGGUUUU